rnacentral:rRNA from 1 species
GACGAACGCUGGCGGCGUGCUUAACACAUGCAAGUCGAACGGAAAGGUCCUUCGGGGUACUCGAGUGGCGAACGGGUGAGUAACACGUGGGUGAUCUGCCCUGCACUUUGGGAUAAGCCUGGGAAACUGGGUCUAAUACCGAAUAGGACCACGCUCUUCAUGGGGUGUGGUGGAAAGCUUUUGCGGUGUGGGAUGGGCCCGCGGCCUAUCAGCUUGUUGGUGGGGUAAUGGCCUACCAAGGCGACGACGGGUAGCCGGCCUGAGAGGGUGACCGGCCACGCUGGGACUGAGAGACUGCCCAGACUCCUACGGGAGGCAGCAGUGGGGAAUAUUGCACAAUGGGCGCAAGCCUGAUGCAGCGACGCCGCGUGAGGGAUGACGGCCUUCGGGUUGUAAACCUCUUUCAGUACCGACGAAGCGCAAGUGACGGUAGGUACAGAAGAAGGACCGGCCAACUACGUGCCAGCCGCCGCGGUAAUAC